AACGCACAUUGCGCCCCUGGGUAUUCCUGGGGGCAUGCCUGUUCGAGCGUCAUUUCAACCCUCAAGCUCAGCUUGGUCUUGGGCCAUGCCGGAAACGGCCGGCCUUAAAACUAGUGGCGGUGCCGCCGGGCUCUACGCGUAGUAACUAUAUCUCGCGUCUGGGUCCCGGCGGACGCUGGCCAGCAACCCUCAAUUUUUUUCUGGUUGACCUCGGAUCAGGUAGGGAUACCCGCUGAACUUAA
rnacentral:misc_RNA from 1 species